rnacentral:rRNA from 1 species
AACGCGAAGAACCUUACCAAGUCUUGACAUCCCCCUGACCGGAACUUAACCGUUCCUUUCCUUCGGGACAGGGGAGACAGGUGGUGCAUGGUUGUCGUCAGCUCGUGUCGUGAGAUGUUGGGUUAAGUCCCGCAACGAGCGCAACCCUUAUCCUUAGUAGCCAGCAGGUAGAGCUGGGCACUCUAGGGAGACUGCCAGGGAUAACCUGGAGGAAGGUGGGGAUGACGUCAAAUCAUCAUGCCCCUUAUGAUUUGGGCUGCACACGUGCUACAAUGGCGUAAACAAAGAGAAGCAAGACCGCGAGGUGGAGCAAAUCUCAAAAAUAACGUCUCAGUUCGGAUUGCAGGCUGCAACUCGCCUGCAUGAAGCUGGAAUCGCUAGUAAUCGCGAAUCAGAAUGUCGCGGUGAAUACGUUCCCGGGUCUUGUACACACCG